rnacentral:rRNA from 1 species
UACGUAGGGGGCAAGCGUUGUCCGGAAUCAUUGGGCGUAAAGAGCGUGUAGGCGGCCCGAUAAGUCCGCCGUGAAAGUCCAGGGCUCAACCCUGGAAUGCCGGUGGAAACUGUCGGGCUGGAGUCCGGAAGAGGCGAGUGGAAUUCCUGGUGUAGCGGUGAAAUGCGCAGAUAUCAGGAGGAACACCAAUGGCGAAGGCAGCUCGCUGGGACGGUACUGACGCUGAGGAACGAAAGCGUGGGGAGCGAACAGG